rnacentral:sRNA from 1 species
GAACAGGCAGUGGCCAGAGUGACCCCAACAGAGUGUCCAGGGACUCAGGCCUCUGAUCAAGUUACCCCCAGAGGAUCAGAGAGGGGUUGACGAAGGAGAAGCAUUCAGAGGGCACUGGCUUCUGGACAGCAAUGAGUGCCCGGGCCACACGGCCCCGAAGCCGGCGAGGGAGGCAUGCUCCACCCGGUGAACUGGAUCCCGUGGCUGAGAGUUCAGAGGAGGUCGAGGCAGCCAGUGGGAGCUCCAAGCCCAGCUUUGCCCCACCUCCGGUGAGCUCCGGGCUGGAGCAGCUGGGCCCCAUGGAGGAGGUCAGUGGCCAAGGCCUAGGAAGCAGCAUGGAGUGACUCAAGUGCCUGAGUUGGUGUCCACAGGACUGACAAGAAGACAGAUGGGGGCUCUGGCAGGGAACUGGCCUCAGCCCCCGAAGUGCCCCACAAACCUGCAGUGGAAGCCCACCAAGCCCCAGAAGCAGCCCUACAGUACGAGGAGACUGUGCCCCCUGGGAAUGGGGCCCCCGAUGUGUUUCAGACCCUCCAGCACGCUCUGAGCUCCCUGGAGGCAGCGGCUGCAGCCUGGCG